rnacentral:rRNA from 1 species
GAUGAACGCUGGCGGUCUGCUUAACACAUGCAAGUCGAACGGAAUCCUUCGGGAUUUAGUGGCGGACGGGUGAGUAACGCGUGAGCAUCUGCCUUCAGGUUCGGGACAACAGCUGGAAACGGCUGCUAAUACCGGAUGUGCCGAGAGGUGAAAGCUUUAGUGCCUGAAGAUGAGCUCGCGGCUGAUUAGCUAGUAGGAGUGGUAAUGGCACCCCUAGGAGACGAUCAGUAGCUGGUCUGAGAGGAUGAUCAGCCACACUGGGACUGAGACACGGACCAGACUCCUACGGGAGGCAGCAGUGGGGAAUUUUCCGCAAUGGGCGCAAGCCUGACGGAGCAAGACCGCGUGAGGGAAGAAGGUCUGUGGAUUGUAAACCUCUUUUGAUGGGGAAGAAGACAGUGACGGUACCCAUCGAAUCAGCCUCGGCUAACUCCGUGCCAGCAGCCGCAGUAA